rnacentral:rRNA from 1 species
UACGGAGGGUGCAAGCGUUAAUCGGAAUUACUGGGCGUAAAGCGUGCGUAGGCGGUUCGUUAAGUCUGUUGUGAAAGCCCCGGGCUCAACCUGGGAAUGGCAAUGGAUACUGGCGAGCUAGAGUGUGUCAGAGGAUGGUGGAAUUCCCGGUGUAGCGGUGAAAUGCGUAGAGAUCGGGAGGAACAUCAGUGGCGAAGGCGAGUCCCUGGACAACACCUGACACUGAGGCACGAAAGCUAGGGGAGCAAACAGG